UCCAUCGUGAGGUGGAAUCUGAAGGAAGUCGGCAGCAGAAUUCCGGGCUGAUGAACAAAAACCACAUAUGAGGUUGACUUGGAGUGGACGAAUUUGUACAUCAAAACGAAAUCCAACACUGCUUGAGCUCCGAGCAUUAAAAGUGGCGGGUAUAUGGGAGGAAAGUUAUCGUU
rfam:Thermoanaerobacter sp. X514, complete genome.